rnacentral:rRNA from 1 species
GAUGAACGCUGGCGGCGUGCCUAAUACAUGCAAGUCGAGCGAACAGACGAGGAGCUUGCUCCUCUGACGUUAGCGGCGGACGGGUGAGUAACACGUGGAUAACCUACCUAUAAGACUGGGAUAACUUCGGGAAACCGGAGCUAAUACCGGAUAAUAUAUUGAACCGCAUGGUUCAAUAGUGAAAGACGGUUUUGCUGUCACUUAUAGAUGGAUCCGCGCCGCAUUAGCUAGUUGGUAAGGUAACGGCUUACCAAGGCAACGAUGCGUAGCCGACCUGAGAGGGGGAUAGGCCACACUGGAACUGAGACGCGGUCCAGACUCCUACGGGAGGCAGCAGUAGGGAAUCUUCCGCAAUGGGCGAAAGCCUGACGGAGCAACGCCGCGUGAGUGAUGAAGGUCUUCGGAUCGUAAAACUCUGUUAUUAGGGAAGAACAAAUGUGUAAGUAACUAUGCACGUCUUGACGGUACCUAAUCAGAAAGCCACGGCUAACUACGUG